UAAAUUGUUCCUGCACCACGAUUCCUUCUAUUAAUUUUCUUCCCAAUUCUUUAAAGCCAGUUAUAUAAGUUCUGUUACCAUAACUUCCCAAGAACUAUUGUCCUUCACCCCCAAAAUAAUCAAAUUCAGAUCUGCCAUCGAGUCAUUGCCCAUUCAGAUUGGAUAUUAUCAUUGUUUUUUAAAAAUUCAACAAAUAUAUGAAGGUAACCUAGUGGGUGAGCUCUACAACUGCCAUUACUACCAUGAGUAAAAUGGUCCAGGGUCUAUAUUUCUCAACAUUUUAACUUAUGAUAUCCCUAUAUUAAUUAAAUAUACCUAGGCU
rnacentral:lncRNA from 1 species